rnacentral:rRNA from 1 species
GAUUUCCUACGGGGGGCAGCAGUGGGGAUUAUUGCACAAUGGGGGAAACCCUGAUGCAGCGACGCCGCGUGAGUGAGGAAGUAUUUCGGUAUGUAAAGCUCUAUCAGCAGGGAAGAAAAAAUGACGGUACCUGACUAAGAAGCACCGGCUAAAUACGUGCCAGCAGCCGCGGUAAUACGUAUGGUGCAAGCGUUAUCCGGAUUUACUGGGUGUAAAGGGAGCGCGGGCGG